GGUCCUUAAAGAUCACAGAACCAUGGAACUCUAAAACAGGUGGGUUGGAAAGGUCCUUAAAGGUCAUGGAACCAUGGAAUCCUGCUACAGUUGGGUUAGAAAGGUCCUUACAGAUUACAGAACUGUUGAACCCUACCCUGGCUGGGUUGGAAAGAUCCUUGAAGGUCACAGAACCACAGAACCCUACACUGGUUGGGUUGGGAGGGUCCUUGAAGGUCACAGAACCAUGGAACCCUACCCUGGCUGGGUUGGAAAGGUCCUUGAAGGUCACAGAAUCCCAGAACCCUACCCUGGCUGGAUUGAAAAGGUCCUUGAAGGUCACAGAACCACAGAACCCUACACUGGUUGGGUUGGGAGGGUCCUUGAAGGUCACAGAAGCACAGAACCCUACCCUGGCUGGCUUGGAAAGGUCCUUGAAGCUCACAGAACCACAGAACUGUACCCUGGCUAGGUUGGAAAAGUCCUUGAAGGUCACAGAACCGUAGAACCCUGCACUAGUUGGGUUGGGAGGGUCCUUGAAGGUCACAGAACCACGGAGCCCUACACUGGUUGGGUUGGGAGGGUCCUUGAAGGUCACAGAAGCACGGAACCCUACCCUGGCUGGGUUGGAAAGGUCCUUGAAGGUCACAGAAGCACGGAACCCUACCCUGGCUGGGUUGGAAAGGUCCUUGAAGGUCACAAAACCACGGCGCCCUACGCCCCGCUCACCUUCUCCACAUCCACCAGCUCGCUCUCGUAGAUCUCGGCGAUGGAGAUGUGGUGCUUGGCAGCGAUGGUGAAGCGGCCCUGGGGGGCAGAGGGCCGCGCUCAGCGCCCCAUAGCGCAGUGGGGCAGGGGCGCCGUGCCCCCCAAGCUGGGGAGGAGCCCCCUCACCAUGUCCGUGUAGAUCUCGAUGGCUCGGAUCAGGCAAUUAAUGGCCUCUGCAACGAGACAAACGAGCUUCGCCGGGUCGGCCGUGGGGCAGAGGGCGGGAUGUGGGGCACAGGGCGGGAUGUGGGGCACAGGGCGGGAUGUGGGGCAGCCCAGCACAACCAAGCACCCAUAGAAGCCCUAUAAAGAGGGAACGUCUCCGCCCCAACCCCGCUGCCCCCCCGCUAUGGGGCGCAGGAAGGCCGGCCGCGUUGCUGUGGGGCAGGGAUGGGAAGGGAGGGCGCGGGGACGCGGCUCGGACAGAGAUUAUGCAAAUCCUCCGCUUGGGAUUAACGAGGUUUCCUCCUUCGUUAUCCCCUCCGCAAACGACCCCAAUUGACCCGGGGGGAACCACGGGGCCGGCGCUCGCAACGGCCUCUCCCCGAACCGCCCCGAAUCCCGCUCCGUGUCCCCCCCAAUCCCCACCCCCGGCCCCACGGCGCCCCAUAGCGCCCCAUAGCGCCCCACACGCUCACCUUGGGGGUCCGCUUUCUUGAAGGCGUUGCCGGCGUCCACGAAGUUGGUGGCGGCGUCGUGCUUGCUCUGCAGCUGCAGGUGGAGCUGCGCCGCCUGGCA
rnacentral:lncRNA from 1 species